rnacentral:rRNA from 1 species
UACGUAGGGGGCUAGCGUUGUCCGGAUUUAUUGGGCGUAAAGAGCGUGUAGGCGGCCAGGUAGGUCUGCUGUGAAAACUCGAGGCUCAACCUCGAGACGUCGGCGGAAACCAUCUGGCUAGAGUCCGGAAGAGGAGAGUGGAAUUCCUGGUGUAGCGGUGAAAUGCGCAGAUAUUGGGAAGAACACCAGUGGCGAAGGCGGUUCUCUGGGACGGUACUGACGCUGAGACGCGAAAGCGUGGGGAGCGAACAGG